GACGAACGCUGGCGGCGUGCCUAAUACAUGCAAGUAGAACGCUGAAGGAGGAGCUUGCUUCUCUGGAUGAGUUGCGAACGGGUGAGUAGCGCGUAGGUAACCUGCCUGGUAGUGGGGGAUAACUAUUGGAAACGAUAGCUAAUACCGCAUAAUAGCAGUUGUUGCAUGAUAACUGUUUGAAAGGUGCAAUUGCACCGCUACCAGAUGGACCUGCGUUGUAUUAGCUAGUUGGUGGGGUAACGGCUCACCAAGGCGACGAUACAUAGCCGACCUGAGAGGGUGAUCGGCCACACUGGGACUGAGACACGGCCCAGACUCCUACGGGAGGCAGCAGUAGGGAAUCUUCGGCAAUGGACGGAAGUCUGACCGAGCAACGCCGCGUGAGUGAAGAAGGUUUUCGGAUCGUAAAGCUCUGUUGUAAGAGAAGAACGAGUGUGAGAGUGGAAAGUUCACACUGUGACGGUAUCUUACCAGAAAGGGACGGCUAACUACGUG
rnacentral:rRNA from 1 species